CCCAAAACGAGCGAAAAGGGAGGACAAAAAAGAGCCGUUGGAAACCCAACCGGGCCAUGGCUUUUUCAAACAUCGAAACAUCAUACUUAAGCCGGUAAAAGUCAUUUUCAAGCUUAAAAAUGUCAGCGAAAGUCAUUUUCAUAUUUACUCGCCUCUGUCUCGCUCUCUCUCGUCGCUUUUAGCCUCCCCUGCUCGCCAUCCUCGCCGUCCCUAAUCCUUUUCAAAAAAAACAUCUGUGAUCCAUCUAUCCUAUCCAAUGGCUCCCACCCCCUUCCAAAAACCAUUCAUUCCAAGCCACCAAACCCCCACAGAAACCUCUCAAUCAAGAAACCGCCUCAACUUCACCAACCCAAAAACAAGCACAAACCCUCAUCCCUAAACCCUCUCUCCGCAGCUCCAACAGAACACCUCGUCGAAGUUAUCUGCCGGAUCCGCGACAUUUCUGACCGCAAGAACAAAUCCUCGUCGUCUUCCUCCUCUGCUCUACAAGUCUCCGGCGAUGGUUGCUCUCUCCUAGUCCGUUCCAACGUUGGCUACAGGAAUUUCAGCCUUGAAGGCAUCUCCUUCUCGGAGAAGGAAGAUCCGGAGGUUUUCUAUAAGAGGUUCGACGAGUCGAGGGUCGAGGAGGAGCGCUCCGGCCCCAAGUGCACUGUCGUGAUGUACGGCCCUACAGGGGCUGCGAAGAGCCACACCAUGUUUGGGUGCCAUUAAGGAGUCGGGGAUCGGGUAAAGGCCUCUCCAAGGAAGCAAGCUUCACCGCCAAAUUUAUUUGACUAGAGGUGUAUGCAGUCUCAUUUACUUCAAUAUUUCUAAUGAUUACACUUCCAGACGACAAAAAUCAACCAGGGAAACAUAUCUCUGAAAAGAGUGGUUGAGUCCAUUGCCAACAGAGAUUCCCAUGUUCCUUUUAGAGACAACAAGUUAACAAUGCUUUUGCAGGAUUCAUUUGAAGAUGACAAAUAAAAAAUUCUCAUGAUUCUGUGUGCAAGUCCUGUUCCCAAUGAAAUGCACAAAAUUAUCCACUCUAGCCUAUGGAGCAAAGGCAAAGUGCAUUGUCCGUAUUGCUCACAUGCCAACUCCCAGGGAUAAGCUAAGCGGUGAAGAUUCUUCAACAAUGCUAAAAUAAAAAAUUGUGGCAAUGAACCAAUUCAUUUACAAUCUACAGAUGUAGAACAAGAUGAAGGACAAGGAAUUUAGUAAAGUUCAAAGAGAACUUAUGUGUAAAGAGGAUGAAAUAAUAAGGCUUCAGUCUAAGCUUGAGCUCGUUGAAGGAAGGCAAGCAACGGAAGAAGAAGAUGAGAUCAUCUGCCUGGUUGAUGAGAGGACUCGGGACUUGAGAAUUGAACUGAAGAAGGCGGAGGAGAUAUUGCAUCAACAACAAGAGGAGCUCCACUUUUUAAGGAAACAAUUAGAGGGGAUGAAAUUUUGCUAGUGCAGCUAAUGAGGAUGCAUUGCAUUUGCAUAACAGAGAAGAUGGAGGGAAGUUUUUGAAACAACUAGCUGAAAUGUGCUUUGAAGAUCAAGUAAUGGAGAAGUCAAUGGAGCUGGAGAUGGGUGAUCAACAACCUAUUCAUGCUAUUAUGGAAAUAAGGG